UCCGGCAUGGUGUAGUGGCUAACAUUGCGCUCUCUCAUAAGCAUGUUUACUAUGCUUACGUAACAGCGCAGCCCAGGGUUCGAUUCCCUGUACCGGAA